GACGUUGAAAGAGGCAAAUGAGAUCCUG
rnacentral:piRNA from 2 species